UCUUAUGGAUGAGCAAAGGAAGUAGUUUUGUGAGAUGGAAUCUACCCCUGGUGGAAACUCUGUGAG
rnacentral:pre_miRNA from 1 species